rnacentral:rRNA from 1 species
UUUUUGGAGAGUUUGAUCUUGGCUCAGGACGAACGCUGGCGGCGUGCCUAAUACAUGCAAGUCGAGCGCUGGAAACUAAUUUCAUCCCUUCGGGAUGAAAUUAGUGGAAAGAGCGGCGGACGGGUGAGUAACACGUGGGCAACCUACCUGUAAGACUGGGAUAACUCGCGGAAACGUGAGCUAAUACCGGAUAAUACUUUUUAUUGCAUAAUAAGAAGUUUGAAAGGCGGCGUAAGCUGUCACUUAUAGAUGGGCCCGCGGCGCAUUAGCUAGUUGGUGAGGUAAAGGCUCACCAAGGCAACGA